AUCUGUGACCUUAAAACUUCAGCCACUCAACUUAACAGAAGCCCCACCGAAUUAUCUCUGCCAGAUUAAUGAACAGAUUCCACCCACACAAGUAAUGGGACCGGCUGUCUGUCAGGAAGCAUUUUGAGCCUAUAAGAGUGACUCAUCUGGGACAGAUUGUCCUACAGGCACACAGGUCGUGGAGUGAGCUUUGGGAGUCACCACAAGGUCGGCCUUCCUCCCAGAUAACUCUUUUCCCCUGAGGGGGAGUGAGCGAGAGGUACACUAAAUCACACAUUGUUCAAACAGCUCACACUGAUACCUUUUUAAGAAGUAACCAACUCCGGAAGUGUGACUUAUGUUGAA
ensembl:lncRNA